rnacentral:lncRNA from 1 species
ACGCCACCACCAACCCCUGCGUGCUGUCGGGCGGCAACGUGCUCACGCUCAACCUGGCCGCCACGGACUCCUUUGCGCCCGGCGACACCGUGCGCAUCAAGAGCGGCAACACACGCCUGCUGAUGGACACGGCCGGCACCGCGCCCUACGUGCAGGGCACCGCUGUGCCCAUCACCCUGGGCGCCGUUACCUCGGCCGUGGCCACCAAGGACACGGAGAUUGUGGUGACGCUGCCCAUGACCGUCGCCCUGGUCAAGGCCGGCGCGGCUGUGACCCAGCUGGGCAAGACUGAUUGCCUGCUUGUCGUGACUCUGGCUGGCACCAUUGCUGACGUGGCCACCGCCUGCGUGCUCACCGGCGGCAACAAGCUCACCAUCACCACCACCGGCUCCUACACGCCCGGCACCACCACCGUGCAGUUCGGCAACACUGACGCCUCCGUCAAGCUGCUCACCGGCGCUGGCCUCACCGGCCCCGCCGUGGUGGCGCUUUCGAGUGUUCAGUCCGUCAAUCCCGGCUACAUCAGCUCGGCCGCCACCAGCACUGCCAGCCAGUUUGUCAUCACGCUGCCCCAGCAGAUUGGCGCCACCGGCACCAUUACGCAGGUGAACUGCGACGCCGCUCUGGAGGUGCUGCAGGCCAACGGCACCACCCGCGUGCUCAGCGGCGACUGCACACGCACCACCAGUGGUGGUGUCUCCACCAUUACUGUGCCGCUCACCACCAACAUUGCCAUCGGCGACACGGUGCGCAUUAAGGCUUCAUCUUCUGGCAUCACUACCGCCACUGGCAGCCUGCAGUACGCGGCCACCGCCGCCGUGCCGAUCCAGCCCGGCCACGUGAGCUACGCCGCCGCCAUCGCAACCGACAAGUUUGUUGUGACGCUGCCCUAUGCCAGCACCCUGGCCGCGGGCGCGGUGUGCUCGGACACCGUCAACGUCAAGAGUGACACUAACGCCAACGUGGAGACUGGCUGCACUCUGUCGCUGGAUUCCACCGGCAUCUACCUCACCGUGGACCUGGCCGACACCAACACCCUGGUGGCCAGUGAGUGCGGGGGGGCGGCGGCUGAGUGGCACACAGAACUCAGGGAUGGGUCCCACAGCUGCUCGCAUUCCGCUGCAUUGACGUUUACUGACCUGCCCUUCCCCAACCCGCUUUUGUUCCCGCCCGCAGCCUUCAAGGUGACCUUCAAGUCGGCCCAGACCGCCCUGACCGUGGGCACCACCAAGUGGGCGCCGCUCAGCGCGGGCGUGUACUCUCUGGACAGCGCCACCUGGGGCACCUCUGUGAUGAAGGUGGUGGCCGUGUCCUCCACCGUCAUCGAGGUCACGCUGCCCAUGGUCAGCUACCUGGGCGAGCUGAGCGCCACCGCCUGCGGCCAGGUCAUCACCGUCGCCGGCAACACCCUGGCCAGCUCGGGCACCGCCUGCAAGCUCAUCAGCACCCCCACCGGCACCAACAACAUCAUGCAGGUCACGCUGCAGUCUGCCUACGUGGCCGGCGGCCUGCAGCUCACCAACACCGGCGGCGCGCUCAAGGCCGGCAGCUCCACCGGCACAGCCUACGGCGCUGUGGCCGCCGUGACCAUCAAGCCCACCUUCGCGUCCGCCGUCGCCACCGGCCUGCGCACCGUCGUGGUGACGCUGCCCGCCACCAGCACGGUUUACAAGCUCACGCCCACCUGCACGGGCACCGGUGCUUCCGGCGCCUGCUCCACGGGCACCCCCACGUGCGCGUCUGGCUCCCCCGCCUGCUCUGACGGCACCGGCACCUACAGCUGCACGUCCUCGACACCUUCGACUUGCGCUGAUCCGACAACCAGUUGUGCCUUUGGCACCAAGACCUGCGCUCAGACGGAUGGGUCAUUCGAUGCAACUCAGCUCACGUGUACAACAGCUGUGGCGGGUUCUAUGAGUGCUGGGUGCGCAGCUGGAACCGCCGUGUGCUUCGACCAGGCCAGUACUACUGCAGCCCAGUGCGCUAGUACUGCUACCACGGACCUCAGUCCCGCUUGCACUGUCGCGAACGUCAAUACUCCAACAUGUGUGGGUGGCAGUGUGACUAGCGCUGAUGCGUGCCUCACGUAUGCCGGCUCGCCCAUCUCGCCCGUCUGCACUGGAGGUGCCUUCGCCUGUGCGGCUGCGGCCGGCCCGAUGUGCGUGCAGAGCGCCACGCCAGUGUGCCCCUCCACGUUCUCGUCCAGCUGCAGCAGUGGAUCACCUUCUUGCACUCAGACGGCUGGCUUGACUACUCCUGGCUGCACCAGCGGUGGCACCCUCACUUGCAGCAAGACGGCUACCUGCGACGCGGAAGCCGCCACGCCCACGUGCGCCCAGGUGUUUGCCACUUUCACCGGCGGCGCGUCCGUCACCACCUGCACCAACCCUAGCAGCGACUCCACCCAACCCAUCACCACCACGCUCACGCUGGGCGCUGACUGGGCCCUGGGCGACAAGCUCACGGUGAACGCGGCGCAGGCCACCACCACCGCCACUUCUUACCUCAAGGCCGGCACCGCCACCGGCCUGGUGUACACCUCCAAGCCCAGCGGCGACGUGGUCAUCUACCCCUCCAUCACCCUGGCCGUGCUCACCAGCAGCAAGACCAUCACCGUCACACUGCCUGUGGCCGCCUCCGUGCCCAGCACCGGCCUGAGCGCCGCCGACUGCAACAACAUCUUCACGCUGUACGCUGGCGCCACUGCCAAGUCGAAUGUCUUUGCCGGCUGCUCGCUCGCCGCGGACAAGGUGACCUUUACGCUGACGCUGGUGGCUGCUGCUUCGGCCACGGCCACCACCACCACCUACGCCGCGGGCGACUUCAUCAACAUCAAGUCCGGCCAGAGCCUGCUCAAGGCCGACUCGACCACCGCCGCCAACCGCCUGGCCUUCGCGCCGCAUCCCGACGGUCUGCCCGUCGUGGCCACGAUCGUGUCGGCCGUGGUCACCGCAGGCGUUGGCUCUGGCACGGGUAUUGUCCGCGUGCAGCUCCCCAUCGCCAGUGACCUGGCCAAGGCGGACUGCGACAACACGGACAUCGGUGUCCUCGACAAUGCGGGAACUGCCCAGGCCCUUGCCGGCACCGGCGGUUGCGCGCUGAGCACCGACAAGACCGUGCUGACCAUCACGCUGGCCGGCUCCGUCACCGCGUCUUGGUUCACCACCUCGCCCUACAUGCGUGUGCGCAUCCUGUCCCAGGCCACCCUGGGCCUCAAGGCCGGCAGCUCAUCCGGCUACGCCUACAUCACCACCGACACCAGCGUGCUCGCCACCGUGCGCGCAUUCGACGUGGCGUCGGCCACACCGCAGAGCAUCGUGUCGGCCACGGCUGUGGGCCCCACCCGGCUGGAGCUGGCGCUGCCCGCCGUCACCACCAUCAACCCCGCCAACGGCUGCCCCAGCUCCCUGACGCUGAGCCGCACCUUGUCCAACUGCAGCCUGGACGACACCGGCAAGCUGCUGACCGUCUUCACCACCGCCGCCUACCAGUCCGCGGACACGGUGCAGGUGGUGGCCAGCCAGGCGCUCAAGUACAUGGCGGGCGACACCGCCACCUCCUACCCCGCCCUGGGUUCGGCGCUGACCAUCGCGCCCGCCAUUGUGUCGGCGUACACCGUGGACGCCUCCACCAUCGCCGUGACGCUGCCGGUUGCCAGUAGCUUCUAUGUUACCACUACCCGCACUGCCACUCUUGACGCCGUGGACUGCGACAAGAUUAUCACCGUGCUCAAGGCCGGCGUGGUCAACGGCGCCGGCGCCAUUGCGUCAGCUGGCAACCGCCGCACUCUGCUCACCACCGGCGCGUGCACGCUGGGCACCGCCUCGGCGGGCGGCACGACCAUCACCGUCAAGCUGAGCGGCGCUAUCUAUGACGCCGGCGACGCUGUCGACAUCCCCGACACCAAUGCCGGCCUCAACGGCGCGACCGCCACGUCUAACCCGCUGUACGCUGACUCCAACUCUGGGCCCAAGUACGUGGCCCGCCGCAGCCCGGUGGUCAUUGAGCCGCGCCUGGUGUCUGCCUCCGCCGUGGGCGCCCAGUCGGUGGAGGUGGUCCUGCCCGCCGCCAGCGCCAUCAUCGACAGCAGCAACGCCGUGGUGGCCACGCCCAGCUCCUCGCAGUGCGCCGCCAUCGCCGUCGUCAGCGGCAAGACCGUCACCUCGUGCUCGCUGUCGACCGACGGCCUGACGCUGACGCUGGGCCUGAGCGCCACCUUCGCGCCCGGCGACACCGUCAACAUCGUGUCGGGCCAGACCAUGCUGCGCGUGUGGAAGGCCAGUGUGGGCGCCGGCUACGAGGCGUUCGGCCCCGUGUACACGCCCUCGGCCGCCGCGCUGGCCAUCACUAUUGGCUACUUCGUGUCUGCCUACGCGCCCGACACUCAGACUGUGGUCAUCACGCUGCCGUUCACUGCCAAGCUGUACGACUACGCGCCCGCCACUGGCGCCUCCACCGCUGAGAUCACGCGCACCGCCACCGCCCCCACCAAGGGCAACUGCGACUCCAUCGUGCGCAUCGCCUCCCGCACGCUGGCCUCCACGCCCGCCGCCCUGACCGACCCCACCUGCACGCUCAGCGGCACCACCCUGACCGUCAAGCUGGCCUCCACCACACUGUCCGCUGGUGACCAGGCGUUCUUCGGCUCGGGCACUGACGCAAUCCUGCGCGGCGUGGCCACCGGCACCGUGGGCCUGACCUCCACCACCUAUCUCACCACAGCUGCCACCACCGCCACCACCGGCGCCGUGACCAUCCAUCCUUCGGUCACCUCGGCCAUCGCGACGGACUCGACCACCAUCAAGGUCACGCUUCCCUUCAACGCCUGGAUUCACGCCUCCAUCACCUCCCUCAACGCCUCCGACUGCGGCAACCUCCUCACCUUUACGCCCGCCAAGACGCUGGCAGCCGCCAGCUCCUGCUCCUUCGCCAGCAACGUCAUCACCGUGAAGCUUUCGGGCGACGGCACCUCGGGCACCUUUGCCAGCGGUGACACCGUCAACAUUGCCGCUGCCAAUGCCGCCACGCUGACCUACCCGCUGCGCGCCGGCAGCUCCAGUGGCCCCCUAUACGGCCCCGGCGCCGCAGUCACCAUCGUGCCCAAGAUCGCCGCCGCCCAGGCCAUUGCGCCGCUGACGGUGGAGAUCACGCUUUCGGCCCCCAGCUACCUGCCGGACGCCCUGACGCAGACGGAGUGUGCCGCGCUGCUGACGUUCACGCCCUCCAAGACGCUGUUCGCUACCACGCCCUGCGCCCUGGACUCUACCAAGACCGUCCUCACCGUCAAGCUGGCGUCUGGCUCGGAGUUUGCCAACGGCGACCAGGUCAACAUCCACGCCACCACCAACACGGGCACCAAGGCCCUGCGCGCUGGCUCCGACGUCACCGGUCUGCUGUACACGGCUUCGGACUCGCCCAUCGACAUCAACCCCGCCAUCCAGAGCGCCGCCGCCACCUCGGCCACCUCCAUUGCCGUGACCCUGCCUGUGGGCAGCACGCUCUACGUCUCGGGCGCCACCGCCUCCAUCUCGGCCGCUGACUGCGCCAAGGUGCUGGAGGUCAAGCGCGGCACCGCCGCCCUCACCCUGGAAUCGUCCGCGGCUUGCGCCAUCGCCAC